rnacentral:rRNA from 1 species
CCUACGGGAGGCAGCAGUGGGGGAUAUUGCACAAUGGGGGAAACCCUGAUGCAGCGACGCCGCGUGUGGGAAGACGGUCCUCUGGAUUGUAAACCACUGUCCCCAGGGACGAAGAUGACGGUACCUGGGGAGGAAGCUCCGGCUAACUACGUGCCAGCAGCCGCGGUAAUACGUAGGGAGCGAGCGUUGUCCGGAAUUACUGGGUGUAAAGGGAUCGAAGGCGGGACUGCGAGUUGGGUGUAAAAUCUACCGGCUCAACCGGUAGCCGCACUCAAAACUGCAGUUCUUGAGUGAAGUAGAGGCAGGCGGAAUUCCUAGUGUAGCGGUGAAAUGCGGAGAUAUUAGGAGGAACACCAGUGGCGAAGGCGGCCUGCUGGGCUUUUACUGACGCUGAGGCUCGAAAGUGUGGGGAGCAAACAGGAUUAGAUACCCGAGUAGUC